AUCCAGGUCAGACCCAGAAUGCCACGGUGCUGUAUAAAUGCUCAAAAGAAAACUAAUCCAGCCAGCAGCAUAGAGCUGCCACUACAAACCCCAGGGACGCCCACUCUUCUACCUCUAGGCAGCCUCCAAAAAUCCCCUCUACAGGCUGCACACCUGCCCACCAGAGCAGGGGGGAAGCCACAAAUACCCCUGGACCAGCAUGUCCAGCCCUGCAUGCCCAGCUCAGCAGAGGGGGCCCCAGAUGUCUUUGAGGGACUGAACUGAAUUAUUCUGUGCCUUCUCCUGACCACAGUCCUAAGGGUUGGGGGAAGGAGACAGGAUGUCAGCCCCGGCACCAGGUGACACCCACCCUUGGCUCCAUCCCCAAAGUUCUCCCCCAGAGUCCUGCUGGGUUCUGUGGGUCCCAGGAAGUCAUAUCUGAACCCCGUGUAUGUGUCCACUGCUUCCACCCAAUUCUCCAAAAAAAAAAAAAAAAAAAAAAAAUGACUGAAUUCCUCUUAGAAAUCUGGAUGCUAACAGCUUCAGCAUCUGGCCCACCUGGACUCCAAUCUUGGCUCACCAG
rnacentral:lncRNA from 1 species